CUUUCUCUUUUAUCUUCGUUAUAUUUCAUGAAGGGUCAGAGAGGAAGAGAGCCUAGAUUACCUGUGGGAGAAUCUCUUGGCACUGCAUCCGUACUAAGUGAGUCUGUUCAACAUUCAGAACCAUGUCUGUGCUAGCUAUGCAGACUCUUACGGCCCACAAAACUUAGAUGUUCCUACCGGUCUUUUACAAGCUGAGAGAAGAUGAAGCCGUUUCCGUUCAGAUGUUCUGCAAAGCGACACUGCAGCAGAGGCAGCCUACCCUGCUCUGUAUCAGGCAUCCUUGUAUGAAGGGUUGGAAACGUGUCACUCCCCUUCCGAGCCGUUCAUGGCUUCCGUAGCUCUGAGACCAGAAUCAAGGGGUCCUUGCUCCAAACCCCGUGUUGCUGCUGUGUUUCUGUUGCGUGAUUCUUUCUCUGAGGCCUUUCAGGUAUUUGGAAGAGCCACACUUUUAGGGUACAAAUUGCAAUAUUAAGCCAGAUAAAACUUAACUUGCUUCCUUGGACGUUUGGCUGCUCUACUGUUGGUGUGCAUCACCUGGGCCAACCGUCUUUCCUCAACGAGGUGCACUGGCCUGGGCAGCAGAUCUGAGAGACCUCACUGCUCACAGCUGAAUCUUAUUGCCUCUCAAGCUGUGACCUGGGGACCCCCUUUCUAUUCCUGUUUUAUCUGCCUGGAAGCCACAGUGCAUCCUCCAGCCCCACCAUGUGCAGGGUCACACCGUGGAUGCUCAGCCUCCCCACAAGCCGCUGUACCUCCUCUCCCUGCCGUCUGCCUAAGUCUCUCUCCUAACCGUUCUGCAUGUAUCUGCAGAGCAUGUAUCUGCAGGUCAUCCUUCCCUGUUCGCAUCUUUAGACAGGAAUCUCUGCCGGAACGAAACCUGCCUCCAACGUGUGACUCACUGAUAGCUGGGGACGUAUAUUCCUUGUUGCUGUUUGAUGAAUACUUGGGAAUUUAGGAAGCUAAUGGCACAUUUUGCCAGUUGGGUCACUGUGUAUUUUCCAUACGAUGCAUAAACAGAAGGAACUCAUGGUGUAAAAAAUGAACC
rnacentral:lncRNA from 1 species